rnacentral:rRNA from 1 species
AAUCAACGCUGGCGGCGUGCCUCAGACAUGCAAGUCGAACGAUUAAAGCUCUCUUCGGAGAGUGCAUAGAGUGGCGCACGGGUGAGUAACACGUGAGUAAUCUACCCUCGAGUGGGGAAUAACGUCCGGAAACGGGCGCUAAUACCGCAUAACGCAGCAGCACCGUAAGGUGACAGUUGUUAAAGAUUUAUCGCUUGAGGAGGAGCUCGCGGCAGAUUAGCUAGUUGGUGGGGUAAUGGCCUACCAAGGCGACGAUCUGUAACCGGUCUUAGAGGACGGUCGGUCACACUGACACUGAAUAACGGGUCAGACUCCUACGGGAGGCAGCAGUCGGGAAUUUUGGACAAUGGGCGCAAGCCUGAUCCAGCAAUGCCGCGUGCAGG